rnacentral:rRNA from 1 species
UAUUAUUGAAUAUGUAAAGUUUUAUUCCUGAGUAGUAGUAGUUAAGAUCUUAAAACUCAAAGAAUUUGGCGGUAUUUUAGUCUCUUCAGAGGAAUCUGUCCUUUUAUUUGAUAAUACACGAUUUAUUAUACUUGAUUUUGUUAUCAGUUUGUAUACCGCCGUUAUAAGAUUAUUUUGGAAGAGAAUAAAAUUUCUUAAAAUUUAAUUUGAUAGUAUUUCAGGUCAAGGUGCAGCUUAUAAUUAAGUGGAGAUGGAUUACAAUAAUUUUAUUUAGAUGAAUUAAUAAUUGAAAUGUUAAUAUGAAAGUGGAUUUGAUUGUAAAAUGUUUUAAAGUGAAGUUUUGAUUAUGGCUCUAAAAUGUGUACAUAUCGCCCGUCGCUCUCGUUAUUAAAAUGAG